rnacentral:rRNA from 1 species
CGCAGGCGGUUUUUUAAGUUCUGAGGUGAAAGCCUCCGGCUUAACCGGGGAGGGUCAUUGGAAACUUGGGGAACUUUGAGUGCAGAAGAGGAGAGUUGGAAUUCCACGUGUAGCGGUGAAAUUGCGUAGAGAUGUGGAGGAACACCAGUGGCGAAGGCGACUCUCUGGUCUGUAACUGACGCUGAGGAGCGAAAGCGUGGGGAGCGAACAGGAUUAGAUACCCUGGUAGUCCACGCCGUAAACGAUGAGUGCUAAGUGUUAGGGGGUUUCCGCCCCUUAGUGCUGCAGCUAACGCAUUAAGCACUCCGCCUGGGGAGUACGGUCGCAAGACUGAAACUCAAAGGAAUUGACGGGGGCCCGCACAAGCGGUGGAGCAUGUGGUUUAAUUCGAAGCAACGCGAAGAACCUUACCAGGUCUUGACAUCCUCUGACAAUCCUAGAGAUAGGACGUCCCCUUCGGGGGCAGAGUGACAGGUGGUGCAUGGUUGUCGUCAGCUCGUGUCGUGAGAUGUUGGGUUAAGUCCCGCAACGAGCGCAACCCUUGAUCUUAGUUGCCAGCAUUCAGUUGGGCACUCUAAGGUGACUGCCGGUGACAAACCGGAGGAAGGUGGGGAUGACGUCAAAUCAUCAUGCCCCUUAUGACCUGGGCUACACACGUGCUACAAUGGACAGAACAAAAGGCAGCGAAACCGCGAGGUU